GGGUUGUGAGGUUAAGCGACUAAGCGUACACGGUGGAUGCCCUGGCAGUCAGAGGCGAUGAAGGACGUGCUAAUCUGCGAUAAGCGCCGGUAAGGUGAUAUGAACCGUUAUAACCGGCGAUUUCCGAAUGGGGAAACCCAGUGUGACUCGUCACACUAUCAUUAACUGAAUCCAUAGGUUAAUGAGGCGAACCGGGGGAACUGAAACAUCUAAGUACCCCGAGGAAAAGAAAUCAACCGAGAUUCCCCCAGUAGCGGCGAGCGAACGGGGAGGAGCCCAGAGCCUGAAUCAGCAUGUGUGUUAGUGGAAGCGUCUGGAAAGGCGCGCGAUACAGGGUGACAGCCCCGUACACAAAAGCGCAUGUGUUGUGAGCUCGAUGAGUAGGGCGGGACACGUGGUAUCCUGUCUGAAUAUGGGGGGACCAUCCUCCAAGGCUAAAUACUCCUGACUGACCGAUAGUGAACCAGUACCGUGAGGGAAAGGCGAAAAGAACCCCGGCGAGGGGAGUGAAAAAGAACCUGAAACCGUGUACGUACAAGCAGUGGGAGCACCCUUUGGGGUGUGACUGCGUACCUUUUGUAUAAUGGGUCAGCGACUUAUAUUCUGUAGCAAGGUUAACCGAAUAGGGGAGCCGGAGGGAAACCGAGUCUUAAU
rnacentral:rRNA from 2 species